CCUAUUAUGCAUUCACACAAAUCAAAUUAGUGAAAACAUAAUCAAUUCAUAAUAAAAACAAAAUCAAUUCAUAUCUGCAUUCCACAAUUUUUUUUCUUUAACUAAUAAAUCAUUUCAAGCUUUUCAAAAGUGAUUUUCGCAUCAUAAUUCUUUUUUUUUCUAAAAUAUUUUAUUCAUCUAGCAUGUAACUUUCUUUAAAUUUAUACAAUUCAUAUGUCAAAAAAGAGUAGUGUUAGGUAGAUUGAGUUUGUAGACUAAAUUUGCAAUUAAAUAAUGUGUCCGCAAUAAGAAAUAAACACGUUAACUAAAUAAUAAUCUAAUCAUCAACUUACAUAUCAUUUAGUUUACAAAUUUAGUCAUCUUAACUAUUACCCCAAAAAAUAAUAAGAGUGCAUGAGAGAAAAAAUUACAAAUAAUUAUUUACAAAAUUUUGUUUCCCUAACAUUACCCAAGAAAAUGAGUGCAUGAGAGAAAAAAACAUUGCAAAUAACGCGUUAUCCAACAUUAUCCUUUUAUAAUUAUUCAAAUUUUAUAGUAAUAAACUGUUAAUUUUGUUUUCAUGUGGAGGGAAAAUAAAAGAAAUUCAUGAAAAACCACAUAAAAGAAAAACUCCUGACAUAUCGAAAUUCUUAUAUUUGUAUAAUGUUUUUAAGAAUAAUGUUGCACAUACCACCCAUUCGUUUGUAGCACCUUUCUACUAGAGGUAGGGACCACAAACUCCUUUCUACUAGAGGUAGGGACCACAAACUCAUGUGAGUGCCAUUUCUUUUAGAAAAAUAGUACAAAUAAAUGAUAAGAAUAACAUUUUUGUUUCUUAAAAAUAUUGAAGGCAUGCAUGUGGUAGGUCUCACCAACAUGCUGCCUGUGCUUUGGGUUGUGAACUUGUGAUAAGCUCUAGUACUAUGGCUGUUUCGCUUUAUGGAAAAUGAUAUAGCGGUUAUGGAUGCAUAUAAACCAACCUCUGGGAAAGAUGUGAGGAACCCACGAGAUGACGCCGGCGAGACCUCGGCGGUAUAGACAGGAGCGAUCAUGAGGGCGUACCCGAUGCCGAUCCCAGCUACAAACCGGCCGACCAUUAGAAAGGCAUAGUUUGUGGAGAAUCCCAUAAGAAGAGCUCCUGCAAAGAAAAUAGCCCCGGCAAGGACUAUGGUGUAUCGGCGACCAAUCCAGUCGGAUGUUCUUCCGGCAGCGGCGGAGCCGAAGAGGGAGUAGACGUUUAUAAUACCGAGUAGGAUCUCAAUUUCCACGUCGGAAAUUUUGAGGUCCUUUUGUAUGUAGAUUGCAGCUCCACUCAUCACACCAAUGUCUAUAGAUAUAUAAAACCAACAUCAACACAUGCAAAAAUAUAACUUUUGGAAUAUUAAUGACAACGAAUUGCUUCAAUAAAUUAAGAAUUUUUUCUCGCGACUCAAUUUUUAUAUUUAUCAUGUAUUUUUAUCAUUAAAGCAAAAGUGUAUACGACUACUUUGGAGGGUUAAUAAUAAUUAAAAACAAUCUAAGGAAGCAAAAUUUGAAGUACAUAUCCUUACCAUAACCCAGCAAGAUUGAAGUCAUGGAAGCCAAAAUGGCACAACCAAAGGCGUACUUAUUUCUUUUGGGUUUCUUU
rnacentral:lncRNA from 1 species